AAUUCGAUGAUACGCGAGGAACCUUACCUGGGCUUAAAUGCAGAGUGAUUUACUGAGAAAUGAGUAUUCCUUCGGGCAAUCUGCAAGGUGCUGCAUGGCUGUCGUCAGCUCGUGCCGUGAGGUGUCGGGUUAAGUCCCAUAACGAGCGCAACCCCUACCCUUAGUUGCCAUCCUUAAGUUGGGCACUCUAUGGGAACUGCCAGCGUAAGCUGUGAGGAAGGUGGGGAUGAUGUCAAGUCAUCACGGCCCUUACGUCCAGGGCUACACACGUGCUACAAUGGUAUAUACAAAGGGCAGCCACUCUGCGAGGAGGCGCGAACCCUAAAAGUAUAUCACAGUUCGGAUUGGAGUCUGCAACUCGACUCUAUGAAGCUGGAAUCGCUAGUAAUCGCGCAUCAGCCAUGGCGCGGUGAAUACGUUCCCGGGCCUUGUACACACCGCCCGUCAAGCCAUGGGAGCUGGGGGUGCCUGAAGUCGGUAACCGAAAGGAUCCGCCUAGGGUAAAACUAGUGACUGGGGC
rnacentral:rRNA from 1 species